UAUGGCUCAGGAUGAACGCUAGCUACAGGCUUAACACAUAGCAAGUCGAGGGGAAACGAUAUUGAAAGCUUGCUUCUUAGGCGUCGACCGGCGAAUGGGUGAGUAACGCGUAUCCAACCUGCCCCUGAGUAAGGGAUAGCCCAUCGAAAGAUGGAUUAAUACCUUAUGGCUCCUUUGAAGGCAUCAGAUUAGGAAUAAAGAUUUAUCGCUGAGGGAUGGGGAUGCGUCUGAUUAGCUUGUUGGCGGGGUAACGGCCCACCAAGGCGACGAUCAGUAGGGGUUCUGAGAGGAAGGUCCCCCACAUUGGUACUGAGACACGGACCAAACUCCUACGGGAGGCAGCAGUGAGGAAUAUUGGUCAAUGGGCGGAAGCCUGAACCAGCCAAGUAGCGUGCAGGAUGACUGCCCUAUGGGUUGUAAACUGCUUUUAUACGGGGAUAAAGUCAGAGUCGUGACUCUGUUUGCAGGUACCGUAUGAAUAAGGACCGGCUAAUUCCGUGCCAGCCGCCGC
rnacentral:rRNA from 1 species